UACUAAUUCCAUCACACCCAAGAACCCUUAAACAAUAUUGAGUAAUUCUAUACUACUAUAGAAGAUUUUAUGUUAAAACUAGUAACAAGAAGAAGAACUUCUCACAAAAUGCAAGUAUAUAUCAGACAGGACACCCCACUAAUAAUUAACACCAAUGAAGAAAAAGUAGUAACUUAUCAAGAAAAUUCUACUAAACCCAUAUGUUAACCUAACACCAGAGCAUUUCAAAAAAGAUUAAAAGAAAGAGAAGGAACUCGGCAAAUAUUAACCUCGCCUGUUUACCAAAAACAUCGCCUCUUGAAUAAAUAUAAGAGGUCCAGCCUGCCCAGUGACUCUGUUCAACGGCCGCGGUAUCCUAACCGUGCGAAGGUAGCGUAAUCACUUGUUCUUUAAAUAAGGACUAGUAUGAAUGGCAUCACGAAGGUUAUACUGUCUCCUCUUUUUAAUCAGUGAAACUAAUCUCCCCGUGAAGAAGCGGGGAUAAAAAUAUAAGACGAGAAGACCCUAUGGAGCUUUAAACCACGUGGAACUUGCACCUAUCAAACAUAAAUUUCAGAAAACAUAUUUUACCCAUGCAAGAUUACUACCAGUUUUAGGUUGGGGUGACCGCGGAGCAAAAAGAAACCUCCACAUUGAAAGGAACCCACUCCUUAGCCAAGAGUCACACCUCUAUGCAUCAUAACAAUGACAUUAAUUGACCCAAUAUUUUGAUCAACGAACCAAGUUACCCUAGGGAUAACAGCGCAAUCCACUUUAAGAGCUCCUAUCGACAAGUGGGUUUACGACCUCGAUGUUGGAUCAGGGUAUCCCGGUGGUGCAGCCGCUACCAAAGGUUCGUUUGUU
rnacentral:rRNA from 1 species